ensembl:lncRNA
GUUUAUAACAUCAAAAAGAGAGUCUCUUCCUUCCUCUGCUCCUCAACAUGAGGCGAGGGAAAGGGAUGAAGCAGAGACUCAAGAAGAUGGAAAGGAGGACGGCGUUUGGUUAAGGACGGAGAGCAAGAACAGGAGUCCAGCUCUAGGCUGGCCUCUCAGUUGGACUGUCUGAUCUUGUGAAGGAGAAAAGACCCUUCCAGAUGAUGCAGCAAGUUACCCCUGGAGUGCGCCCUCUGCAGCCUCACCUGGUCUGUCCAGGUAAGAUUCCAGUGAUGUCUCACAAACUAGCAUCACACUGCCUGGGACUCUAUGGAGCAGAAAUGCCUGUCCAUUUUCUGGUCACUCUUGUGAAGAGGAUGGACAUUUUGUGAUAGACUUUCCCUAUGAGGAGAGUCCAACACCAGCCCUCCAAAAUUUAGGUGUGGAAAACAGAUUUCAGUCCUGUAAGGAGAGAAAAGUCAUAUGCAGAUCAUCUGACUCUUCUCCACAAGGGAAGAAAAGCAGGCAGCAUAGCACUCACUUGAUGCUGUUCUGACUCAGAGGAAAACCAGUGGGAGAAAACACACUCUGGGAAUACCAUCUUUUUUUGGAGGGCAGGGGUUGUCACCUUUAAAUUGUAAUAAUGUACUGUCACAUCUGAUCUAAUAUCAGUUAUAAAUUCCCCUGGAAAGAACCUCCCAUCGCACCCACUUCAUUAAAGCAUUCUGCUAAUUUGCCUUCCCUGAGAAAAUGUUUCCAGGGAAAAAGGUGAGAAUCAUCCCUAUAGCCCAGCAGUAGGCUGGACUGGGUGUUACCAGCAACCAUAUAAAUCCUUUAAGGACGUGAUUGUCCUCUUUUCACGAGAGAAUGAAUUAGCAAAAUCAAUCUGCAGGGGUUGCAACUGUUUUUCUUGGGGCAGGUAAAACUGAGAGCACUGUUAUUGCUUAUCUCUCUGCUUUCUAGCUGUGAUGGGAGGAGGGGGAGAGCAGAGUGUUCUAUAGCUGAUUUGAAAUUUGCUGUCAUUUGUGUGAGUGUACUGAUUUUUCUCAAUCAUGCAUUCGUUUUAACAGUCAUUUGUUGAGUGUCGAUGAUAUGUCUUGUAUUUGCUGAGGUGCUGGAGAUUCAACAAGCCCUAAACACACCCAGUUCCUCCUUCACGGAGCCCACUUUCUCACAGCCCCGCCAGAGGCAGAGAGGAACCCAGGCUGACCCGCUUCUCACAGUUGGGUUGUGGGGACGGAUAUGCAAGGAAAGGAAACAUGUGACAGUGAGACUGGACACAGCUGGGGAAAGGACAGAAAAGAGCUGGGGUGGGAGAGGGCUGGGAGGGACUCUGGGUGGGAAAGCAUCA